UGUUCUGUGGCUUAGUUGGUGAAAGCACCGGUCUAGCGAAUACGGAAUCGUGAGUUCGAAUCCGACCAGAACGC
rfam:Aedes albopictus isolate Foshan contig125605, whole genome shotgun sequence.